GCCACCAAAAAAGCUGCCGUGGGAACUUUACGCCUUCCAUGGAGAUGUUCGCGUGGCCUUAAACCCCGACGUCGAACCGAAGAUCGAUUGGGGUGAACGCAUGCGUAAGGAGGUUGGGGGCAUGGUUCACAACGGUGGAACCCGUGAAAGCAGCGACCAUGUAGCCUUGCCUAGGCCUGGCAAGUGCCCGACUGCUAGGACGGAUCAAUAUCCCACUCGUGCAGUAACUAGUAGUAAGUGGGACCUUCGAACGGCUCUGGUGUCCUCAGCCUUACAAACUGUUAACAUCGUGUGGGUAAAGCUGGACAGUCUCUGCAGAGGUGAAUUAAAUCAUUCGAAUGUGCCGUACUCCCGGUUCUGGAGUUGUGUCAUCAGGGUGAUUCCUACUCCUAAAGUAUAAGUAGUUUUAA
rnacentral:lncRNA from 1 species